UACAGAGGUCUCAAGCGUUGUUCGGAUUCAUUGGGCGUAAAGGGUGCGUAGGCGGCGCGGUAAGUCGGGUGUGAAAUCUCGGAGCUUAACUCCGAAACUGCAUUCGAUACUGCCGUGCUUGAGGACUGGAGAGGAGACUGGAAUUCCUGGUGUAGCAGUGAAAUGCGUAGAUAUCAGGAGGAACACCGAUGGCGAAGGCAGGUCUCUGGGCUGACACUGACGCUCAUGCACGAAAGCGUGGGGAGCAAACAAG
rnacentral:rRNA from 1 species